rnacentral:lncRNA from 1 species
AUUCACUUUACGUAUGAAUUACACUGACACAAUACCGAGUUUAGCUCAAUGUGAACACGUCCUAAUACUGUGAAACAAAAUGUAUAAUGUCAAAUGGCAUGAGAAAAUAGAUCUACUACAUGUAUUCAAGUACUGUUCCACAAUAAAUAAACAUUACCAAACCACUCACAUAUUAUAUGUUAUAAUAUUUUUUUUUCUGCAAAAAUGGCAGUUUCGUUAAAUAAGUAGACCAAAAUAAGACAACAUUACUUAAAACAAGAGUAUGUGUAAUGGAUAAAUCUGAGCUUCAGGUAACGGAAGAUAGCAUUUACAAUAAACACUAAGCGCUGCUCACUAUGAUACCAUCCUGAAGGAUCGUGGUUGAUUUUGGAAAAAGACAACGAACAUGCCAUUUUUAUUGUUGAUUAGAUAUCUACAUUAUGGUCUGAAGAACACUAGUUCCCAAAAGACAAAUGACAGCGUCAUCCACGUUUAUAUUAUAGGAUUGUGAUGAGUAUAGUCAAACUAUAGUUAUAAUAGAAAAAUUAAGGUGAGCAAUAAACGUAUUCAAUCAGUAAUUGUAUGUUACCCAGUGUACAAUAAAAAGACAAUAAAAAAAUUCAGUACACGUCAGGAUGUUAGAAGUAUAGAUUUCAAAUACAAUGUAUCAAUGUCUGAUCAUUCUUUUAC